rnacentral:lncRNA from 1 species
CUUGUACCACACGAGAGUCGAAGAAGAAUUGUAACCGUAGCAUCGCGCUGCUUUGUACGGUUGAUGUUGAAGAGGAGAUAACGGAAGUAGCAAAAGGAUCCGGAAGGAAGUUAUAUCGUAAGGCAGGAGGAAAACUAUUUGAUUUUUGAGCUGCUCCGAAAAGCUGCUGCAAAAUAAAUAAC